AUGUGAAUUAAUGCAGAUAGUGAAUGCCUUGGCUUGUUUGGCCGAAGAAGGACGCAUUAGGCCGCGAAAGUCAUCGGGGAGCUGCCUCAAAGCUUUGAUCCGAUGGUGUCCGAAUGGGGAAACCCACCCUCUUUAAUAGGAGGGUACCCCCGCUUUUAGCGGGGGAGGGAACCGGGGGAACUGAAAUAUCUAAGUACCCUGAGGAAGAGAAAUCGUAAGAGAUUCCCUUAGUAAGCGACGAGCGAACAGGGAACAGUCUAAACCAACAUUUAUGUUGGGGUUGCAGGAGCUCAAUGUGAGAUUUCAACGCGUAUCAGAACACCGUGGAGUAGGUGACCAAAGAUGGUGAGAGUCCAGUACGAGACACGCAGCGAAACUCUAGAGAUUUCCUAAGUAGGUUGGGAGACGGCAAACUCCCUUCUGAAUCUGGGGUGACCACACUCCAAGACUACAUACCAAACAAGACCGAUAGUGAACGAGUACCGUGAGGGAAAGGUGAAAAGAAGGGUUGAAGACCCCGUGAAAUAGUACCUGAAACUAUCUGCUAACAAUCAGACGGAGCUCCGCAAGGAGUGACGUCGUGCCUAUUGAAGAAUGAGCCGGCGAGUGUUUGCGUGUUGCUAGGCUAAGACAAUGCCAUGUCGGAGCCAUAGUGAAAGCGAGCCUGAAUAGGGCGAUUAAGUACCGCGCAAACGACCCGAAACCGGGUGAGCUUACCAUGAUCAGGAUGAACUUCGCCGAAAGGCGGAGGAAGGUCCGCACCGGUGUCCGCUGUAAGGGGCUCGGAUGAAUUGUGGUAAGGGGUAAUAUGCCAAUCGAACCCGGAGAUAGCUGGUUCUCCCCGAAAUAUAUUUAGGUAUAGGGUCAUGACACAAGCAGGAAGGGGUAGAGCACUGAUCGGGUGUUUCAGGAGCAAUCUUGAGCAUCUAGUUAAACUCCGAAUACUUUCUGUUCUUUCAUGGCACUCAGUAUCUGGGCACUAAGGUCCAGAGGCAAAAGGGAAACAUCCCAGACUCACAGCUAAGGUCCCAAAUGUAUGUUCAGUGGUUAAGGAAGUGGUAUUCCUAGGACACCUAGGAGGUCGGCUCAGAAGCAGCCAUCCUUUAAAGAAAGCGUAACAGCUCACUAGCCGAGGAAUACCGCGCCGAAAACUCAACGGGGCUCAAACAUACAACCGAAGCUUGAGAUUUCUAUGUAUUUAUAUGUAGGAGUGGUAGGGGAGCGUUCUAGGAGCAGUGAAGGUUUACCGACAAGGUUAGACUGGAGCGACUAGAAGUGCGAAUGCCGGCAUGAGUAGCGAAAAUGAGGUGAGAAUCCUCAUUCCCGAAUGACCAAGGUUUCCGCACCCACGUUCGUCGUGUGCGGGUUAGGCGACCCUAAGGUAAGCCCUCGCAAAGAGGGGUAGCCGAUGGAUUACCGGUUAAUAUUCCGGUCCUUGGUAGCGUUCGUUAUGACUUGGGGAGUGACGACGAUGGAUAACUUAUGUGUCGCAGUGAUGCGGCAUCUAAGCAUGAAAGCAGUCUGGAUAGGCAAAUCCGUUCAGGCGUUUAUCUAACAUGUGACGGCUCUGAUGACCCGCAAGGGAAGUUGGAGAUGAGUGAUUUCAUUGUCCUGGAAAAGCUUCGCAAGCAGAACGUUAUCAAAUCGUACCGAUAACCAACACAGGUGGUCUGGUCGAGUAGACUAAGGGAAGCGAGAGACACUAGUUUCAGGAACUCGGCAAAAUAGCUGGGCGUACUUUCGAAAGAUGCCCUGCUCUUGCAGCGAUGUAAGAGCCACAGCAAAAGAUGUGGGAUUGACUGUUUACCAAAAACACAGGUCUGUGCAAACUCGUAAGAGGCAGUAUACAGGCUGAAGCCUGCCCAGUGCCGGAAGGUUAAUUGCGAGGGUUCUCUCUAGAGCUUGCUCUAGGGAGUGGCCUUCAAUCGAAGCCCCGGUGAACGGCAGCAGUAACUAUAACUGUUCUAUGGUAGCGAAAUUCCUUGUCGCUUAAUUGGCGACCCGCACGAAAGGUAUAACAAGUCUCACUCUGUCUUAAACUAGUACUCGGCGAAAUUGAAAUGGCUGUGAAGAUGCGGCCUACUGACACCAGGACAAAAAGACCCCGUGAAGCUUUACUACAACUUGACACUGUUGUUGUAUUGGGAAUUGUUUAGCAUAGGUGGGAGUUCCUUCAUUUAGUGAUGGGACAUUAGUGAAAUACCACUCGUUUUCGAUACGACAGCUCACUUAACUUGACUGCAUACGUCAAGGAGGACACUGUUUGGUGGGUAGUUUAACUGGGGAGGUUGCUUGCUAAAGAGUAACGCAAGCGCGCAAUGGUACCCUUAGCCCGGAUGGAAAUCGGGCCAGACGUGCAAUAGCAUAUGGGUGCUUGACUGUGAGGCAUACAAGCCGAGCAGGUGCGAAAGCAGGUUAUAGUGAUCCUCGUGCGCUUUGUGGAAGGCGCCGGGCUUAUCGGAUAAAAGCUACUCCGGGGAUAACAGAGUCAUCGCGCCUAAGCGUCCCUAGCGUCGGCGCGGUUUGCUACCUCGAUGUCGGCUCAUCGCAUCCUGGGGCUGAAGAAGGUCCCAAGGGUUUGUCUGUUCGCCAAUUAAAGCGGUACGUGAGCUGGGUUCAGACCGUCGUGAGACAGGUCGGCCUCUAUCCGGUGUCAGCGAUAAAUAGUUGAGAGAGUUUGCCCCUAGUACGAGAGGACCGGGGUGAGGGAAUCCCUAGUGUUCCUGUUGUCACUGUCAAGUGCACUGCAGGGUAGCUAUAUUCUUUUCGGAUAACCGCUGAAAGCAUCUAAGCGGGAAGCCGUUCUCAAGAUUAACUAUUUCCAUUAGACCCGUGGAAGACUACCACGUUGAUAGGCAACGCGUGUAAGCCUGGUGACAGGUUCAGCGUAGUUGUACUAAGUGUCGA
rnacentral:rRNA from 15 species